GGUGAGCCUGUAAAGUUUUAGGAUCAAGGUUAAAGGCCCUUUUUUGCUCUCUUCUCUCUUGGACCUUCAGGCGACGGCUUGGGUAUCUUCCAAGCGAAUUUUCCUUUCUUUCCUGUUCUUUUUUUUUUUUGAGACGGAGUCUUGCUCUGUCGCCCAGGCUGGAGUGCAGUGGCGUGAUGUCGGCUCACUGCAAGCUCCGCCUCCCGGGUUCACGCCAUUCUCCUGCUUCAGCCUCCUGAGUAGCUGGGGCUACAGGCGCCCGCCACCACGCCCGGCUAAUUUUUUUGUAUUUUUUUUUUUAGUAGAGACGGGGUUCCACCGUGUUAGCCAGGAUGGUCUCGAUCUCCUGACCUCGUCAUCCUCCCGCCUUGGCCUCCCAAAGUGCUGGGAUUACAGGCUUGAGCCACCGCGCCCCGCUCUUUCGUGUUCCAAAGGCUUUUUAAAUAAACUUCCACUCCUGUCCUGGAUUCUGCUUUAUGGCCCUCAGUCGAAUUCUUUCUUCUGAGGAGGCAAGGACUGAAGUUGCUUCUGACCAGUACAGAAACCUAGAGCCCCACCAAAUGAAUCCGCUGGCACGUGGACCUCAGAUGGGGGAAACUGAGGACUGAAUUCUGACCACCCUCCUUUGUUCUAAAUUUCUUCCUGAAGGACCUGGAAGAAGUCAUGCCACGGGCCAGACCUUAACAUUCCUUUCGGCUUACCCCAGGAUUUCAGACGAAGCUUCACUUUCCUAACCAGUCACAAAUCAGAGAAUUUUUGAUUCCACCUAUGACCUGUGAGCUCCUGCUUCAAGAUAUUCCACCUUUUUUAGGCCAAACCAAUGUAUAACCUCCAAGUGUCGAUUUACACUUUCGACUGUAACUUCUGCUUUCCUGAGAUUUACCCCUGCCUUUAAAAACCCUUGCUUGUAAUCCCUCAGGGAGGCCGUGUAUUUAUUAAUCAUGAGCUGCCCAAUUCUCCUUGCUUGGUGCCCUGCAAAUAAACACCCUCUUUUCUCCCACUGCAAAA
ensembl:lncRNA PPP1R3B-DT PPP1R3B divergent transcript